AGUGGACGCCGGGGCGAGCCGCCAUGAAGCUCAACGUGGACGGGCUGCUGGUCUACUUCCCGUACGACUACAUCUACCCGGAGCAGUUCUCCUACAUGCUGGAGCUCAAGCGCACGCUGGACGCCAAGGGACAUGGAGUCCUGGAGAUGCCCUCAGGCACUGGGAAGACGGUGUCCCUAUUGGCUCUGAUCGUGGCCUAUCAGCGGGCUUAUCCGCUGGAGGUGACCAAACUUAUCUACUGCUCACGGACCGUGCCAGAGAUUGAGAAGGUCAUAGAAGAGCUUCGCAAGCUGCUCAGCUUCUACGAGCAGCAGGAGGGUGAGAAACCGCCGUUCUUAGGACUGGCUCUGAGUUCAAGAAAGAACCUGUGCAUUCAUCCCGAGGUGACACCACUGCGCUUCGGGAAGGAUGUUGAUGGGAAGUGUCACAGCCUGACGGCGUCGUAUGUGCGGGCACAGUACCAGCAAGAUGCCAGCCUGCCUCACUGCCGCUUCUAUGAGGAAUUUGACAUCCAUGGACGCCAGGUGCCCCUCCCUGCGGGCAUCUACAACCUGGAUGACCUGAAGGCCCUGGGGCAGCGGCAGGGCUGGUGCCCCUACUUCUUGGCUCGAUACUCGAUCCUGCAUGCCAACGUGGUGGUUUACAGCUACCACUACCUCCUGGACCCCAAGAUCGCGGACCUGGUAUCCAAAGAGCUGGCCCGCAAGGCCGUUGUGGUCUUCGAUGAAGCUCACAACAUCGACAAUGUCUGCAUUGACUCCAUGAGUGUCAACCUCACCCGCAGGACUCUGGACCGUUGCCAGAGCAACUUAGACACGCUGCAGAAGACCGUGCUCAGGAUCAAGGAGACAGAUGAGCAGCGGCUGCGGGAUGAGUACCAGCGCCUGGUGGAGGGCCUGCGGGAGGCCAGUGCGGCACGGGAGACAGAUGCCCACCUGGCCAACCCUGUGCUGCCCGACGAGGUGCUGCAGGAGGCAGUGCCAGGCUCCAUCCGCACGGCCGAGCAUUUCCUGGGCUUCCUGCGGCGGCUGCUGGAGUAUGUCAAGUGGCGGCUGCGCGUGCAGCACGUGGUGCAGGAGAGCCCACCUGCCUUUCUGAGCGGCCUGGCCCAGCGUGUGUGCAUCCAGCGCAAGCCCCUCAGGUUCUGUGCUGAGCGCCUCCGCUCCCUGCUGCACACCCUGGAGAUUGCUGACCUGGCCGACUUCUCCCCGCUCACACUCCUUGCUAACUUCGCCACUCUUGUCAGCACAUACGCCAAGGGCUUCACCAUCAUCAUCGAGCCCUUUGACGACAGGACCCCCACCAUCACCAACCCCGUUCUCCACUUCAGCUGUAUGGAUGCCUCCUUGGCCAUCAAGCCUGUGUUUGAACGCUUCCAGUCUGUCAUCAUCACUUCGGGGACACUGUCCCCACUGGACAUCUACCCCAAGAUCCUGGACUUCCACCCCGUCACAAUGGCAACCUUCACCAUGACGCUGGCCCGAGUCUGCCUCUGCCCGAUGAUCAUCGGCCGUGGUAAUGACCAGGUAGCAAUCAGCUCCAAAUUUGAGACCAGAGAAGACAUUGCUGUGAUCCGCAACUAUGGCAACCUCCUGCUAGAGAUGUCUGCUGUGGUCCCCGAUGGCAUUGUGGCCUUCUUUACCAGCUACCAGUACAUGGAAAGCACUGUAGCCUCCUGGUAUGAGCAGGGCAUCCUUGAGAACAUCCAGAGGAACAAACUGCUCUUCAUUGAGACCCAGGAUGGGGCUGAGACCAGUGUGGCCCUGGAGAAGUACCAAGAGGCGUGUGAGAAUGGCCGUGGGGCCAUUCUCCUCUCAGUGGCUCGGGGCAAAGUGUCAGAAGGGAUUGACUUUGUGCACCACUACGGGCGGGCUGUCAUCAUGUUUGGCGUUCCCUAUGUCUACACCCAGAGCCGAAUUCUCAAGGUAAGUGGGAAAACAGUGCUCUGGAUGUGGGGGAAGGGCAGGCUCUCCACCUCAACCUCCUCAUCCCCCAGGCCCGGUUGGAGUAUCUGCGAGACCAGUUCCAGAUCCGGGAGAAUGACUUCCUCACCUUCGAUGCUAUGCGCCAUGCGGCCCAGUGUGUGGGCCGUGCCAUCAGGGGCAAGACAGACUAUGGGCUCAUGGUCUUUGCUGACAAGCGGUUUGCUCGGGCCGACAAGCGCGGGAAGCUGCCGAGAUGGAUCCAGGAGCACCUGACUGACUCCAACCUCAACCUGACCGUGGAUGAGGGCGUGCAGGUCGCCAAGUACUUCCUGCGGCAGAUGGCACAGCCUUUCCACCGGGAGGACCAGCUGGGCCUGUCUCUGCUCAGUCUGGAGCAGCUGCAGUCAGAGGAGACGCUGCAGAGAAUCGAGCAAAUUGCACAGCAGCUCUGAGCACAGGAUUGUGGGUGAUGCCUGUGGCUCCCGGGAGGUGCUGGAAGGUCCCAGGGCCCUUGGCGAACACCCAAUACCAGUGCAUAGCCUUUAAUUGCAGGGAGGACCACAGGGUCCCGAUGUACACAUGCUGCCAGGCAGGGUGCAGGAUGACCGCCCACCCUCCCUGAUCCCUGAGAAUCUGUGGCCACUGCAGCUGGUCCACUUAGCGCGGGCUCAGAUCCUGCGUGCUGGCACUGAGAGUCCGAGGGGCCUCACUCAGGUGCCGGGCUGAGAGCUGGGGACAGGCACAGGAGUGGUUAGAGUUCUUUUCCAGUUGACACUGGAGCCACUUGAAGCCCUACCCACCAACUCAGCCCUACCUCAAGUCCCCAGGAGGAGGCCCCACCUGCUGGUAGCGCCCUCCUCUAUCCCCAGCCCCUCACCUGCGUCCUGGCAGCCCUUGCCCCGUCCACGUUCAGCGUGUUGAGUGACAUGGCCCUCUUCAUCCUGACGAGGAGCCCAGAGAGGCAGGAGUGAGUCAGGGGAGGCUCAAGUCCCUGGCUCUGAGACUGCUGACCCCACCCAGCACUCACCCGGCCGCCCCUGCCGUGCCCUCCCCUCGGAGGCGGGAGACCAGCUUCUCACUUCCACGCCGGAUGGACUCGCGGAACUCCCGGAGCUUAGAGAAAGAACUGCUCCUGCGAAGGACCUGGGGAGAGCACAGUGACAUGUGGGGACAUGGUGGAGGCCCACCCAGACUGGGCCCAACAAGGACCUGAGGCAGAGCCUGCUUACCUGCUGUUGUGUAUCACCCGCUGUGCCUCCCUGGGGGGCUCCUGUGGGACAGAGGGGACAUGGAGGUGGGAGUGAGGAACGCCACGCAGGGGGGUAUACAGGGGGUGCAGGAGUGGGCUCACCAAGCGGGGCGGGCAGGGCCUCCUGGCUGAGGAUCUCCUUGUAUAGCUCCUCUGCCUGCUGAUACUUGUUCUGCUUCAGGUAGGCUGAGGCCUGCGGGGAGGGAGGGAGGGAGAAAAAGCAGGGCGUGGGCAUCUUGUUUAGGCCUGGGAACUCUUCAGACCUGCCCGCCUUCCCCAGCAUCCUGCCUCGGCUUACUACAGUGCAGAGUCACCCGAGGGAACCAGGCCACCCGCUGCCGAGUCCUGCUUCUCUGCCAGUCUCCUACCUCAGUGGAUGAAAUGUGUGGGGUCACCCACCAUGACCACAAUAAAAUCUGACACAGGAUUCUGUGAA